GAUGAAGAACGCAGUGAAAUGCGAUAAGUAAUGUGAAUUGCAGAAUUCAGUGAAUCAUCGAAUCUUUGAACGCACAUUGCGCCCGCCAGUAUUCUGGCGGGCAUGCCUGUCUGAGCGUCAUUUCAACCCUCAUGCCCCUAGGGCGUGGUGUUGGGGAUCGGCCAAAGCCCGCGAGGGACGGCCGGCCCCUAAAUCUAGUGGCGGACCCGUCGUGGCCUCCUCUGCGAAGUAGUGAUAUUCCGCGUCGGAGAGCGAUGAGCCCCUGCCGUUAAACCCCCAACUUUCCAAGGUUGACCUCAGAUCAGGUAGGAAUACCCGCUGAACUUAAGCAUAUCAAUAAGCGGAGGA
rnacentral:misc_RNA from 1 species